rnacentral:rRNA from 1 species
AUUGAACGCUGGCGGCAGGCCUAACACAUGCAAGUCGACCGAGUGGCGGACGGGUGAGUAAUGUCUGGGAAACUGCCUGAUGGCGGGGGAUAACUACUGGUAACGGUAGCUAAUACCGCAUACCAUCGGAUGUUCACAGAUGGGAUUAGCUAGUAGGUGUGGUAAAGGCUCACCUAGGCGCCGAUCCCUAGCUGGUCUGAUAGGAUGACCAGCCACGUUGGAACUGAGAAACGGUCCAGACUCCUACGGGAGGCAGCAGUGGGGAGUAUGGCACAAUGGGCGCAAUCCUGAUGCAGCCAUGCCGCGUGUAUGAAGAAGGCCGUCGGGUUGUAAAGUACUUUCAGCGGGGAGGCGUUACCCGCAGAAGAAGCGCCGGCUAACUCCGGGCCAGCAGGCGCGGUAAUUC